CCGGCUUACCAACCCGAUGCAAACUGCGAAUACCGGAGAAUGUUAUCACGGGAGACACACGGCGGGUGCUAACGUCCGUCGUGAAGAGGGAAACAACCCAGACCGCCAGCUAAGGUCCCAAAGUCAUGGUUAAGUGGGAAACGAUGUGGGAAGGCCCAGACAGCCAGGAUGUUGGCUUAGAAGCAGCCAUCAUUUAAAGAAAGCGUAAUAGCUCACUGGUCGAGUCGGCCUGCGCGGAAGAUGUAACGGGGCUAAACCAUGCACCGAAGCUGCGGCAGCGACACUGUGUGUUGUUGGGUAGGGGAGCGUUCUGUAAGCCUGUGAAGGUGUGUCGUGAGGCAUG
rnacentral:rRNA from 1 species